CGCGGGAUGGAGCAGCAGGUAGCUCGUCGGGCUCAUAACCCGAAGGUCAGAGGUUCGAGUCCUCUUCCCGCAACCA
rnacentral:tRNA from 1 species